CCUACGGGUGGCAGCAGUGAGGAAUAUUGGUCAAUGGACGAGAGUCUGAACCAGCCAAGUAGCGUGAAGGAUGACUGCCCUAUGGGUUGUAAACUUCUUUUAUAUGGGAAUAAAAUGUUCCACGUGUGGGAUUUUGUAUGUACCAUAUGAAUAAGGAUCGGCUAACUCCGUGCCAGCAGCCGCGGUAAUACGGAGGAUCCGAGCGUUAUCCGGAUUUAUUGGGUUUAAAGGGAGCGUAGGUGGAUUGUUAAGUCAGUUGUGAAAGUUUGCGGCUCAACCGUAAAAUUGCAGUUGAAACUGGCAGUCUUGAGUACAGUAGAGGUGGGCGGAAUUCGUGGGGUAGCGGUGAAAUGCUUAGAUAUCACGAAGAACUCCGAUUGCGAAGGCAGUUCACUGGACUGCAACUGACACUGAGGCGCGAAAGUGUGGGUAUCAAACAGGAUUAGAUACCCUAGUAGUC
rnacentral:rRNA from 1 species